rnacentral:rRNA from 1 species
UACGUAGGGGGCUAGCGUUGUCCGGAAUCAUUGGGCGGAAAGCGCGUGUAGGCGGUCCGGUAAGUCCGCUGUGAAAGUCGGGGGCUCAACCCUCGAAAGCCGGUGGAAACUGUCGGGCUAGAGUGCGGAAGAGGCGAGUGGAAUUCCUGGUGUAGCGGUGAAAUGCGUAGAUAUCGAGAGGAACACCUGCGGCGAAGGCGGGUUGCUGGGCCGACACUGACGCUGAUGCGCGAAAGCCAGGGGAGCGAACGGG